rnacentral:rRNA from 1 species
UGCGUAGGUGGUUGGGUAAGUCUGAUGUGAAAUCUCUGAGCUCAACUCAGAAACUGCAUUGGAUACUAUCCGGCUAGAGAAUCGGAGGGGGGACUGGAAUACUUGGUGUAGCAGUGAAAUGCGUAGAUAUCAAGUGGAACACCAGUGGCGAAGGCGAGUCCCUGGACGAUUUCUGACACUGAGGCACGAAAGCUAGGGGAGCAAACA